AACGUAGGGGACAAGCGUUAUCCGGAUUUACUGGGCGUAAAGCGCCCGUAGGCGGCCUGACAAGUUGGACGUGAAAGCUCCUGGCUUAACUGGGAGAGGCCGUUCAAAACUGUCAAGCUAGAGUCUGGAAGAGGCGAGUGGAAUUCCUGGUGUAGCGGUGAAAUGCGCAGAUAUCAGGAGGAACACCAAUGGCGAAGGCAGCUCGCUGGGACGUGACUGACGCUGAGACGCGAAAGCGUGGGGAGCAAACAGG
rnacentral:rRNA from 1 species